rnacentral:rRNA from 1 species
ACUCCUACGGGAGGCAGCAGUGGGGAAGUAUUGCAUCAAUGGGCAGGCAAGCCUGCAUGCAGCCAUGCCGCGUGUGUGAAGAAGGCCUUCGGGUUGUAAAGCACUUUCAGUUGUGAGGAAGGUGGUGUCGUUAAUAGCGGCAUCAUUUGACGUUAGCAACAGAAGAAGCACCGGCUAACUCCGUGCCAGCAGCCGCGGUAAUACGGAGGGUGCGAGCGUUAAUCGGAAUUACUGGGCGUAAAGCGCAUGCAGGUGGUUUGUUAAGUCAGAUGUGAAAGCCCGGGCU